rnacentral:rRNA from 1 species
CGGUCAAAUCACGCUGAAACACCGGUUCUCGUUCGAUCACCGAAGUUAAGCAUCCAGGUCAGUACUUAGAUGGGGGACCGCUUGGGAACACCUGGUACUGUAAGC